rnacentral:rRNA from 1 species
GUUGUAUGGUUAAGUGACUAAGCGUACACGGUGGAUGCCUUGGCAGUCAGAGGCGAUGAAAGACGUAGUAACUUGCGAUAAGCCCAGAUUAGGUAGUAACAACCAUUUGAGUCUGGGAUUUCUGAAUGGGGAAACCCACGUGCAUAAGCACGUAUCCUUACCUGAAUACAUAGGGUAAGGAGGCGAACCGGGGGAACUGAAACAUCUAAGUACCCCGAGGAAAAGAAAUCAACCGAGAUUCCGAAAGUAGCGGCGAGCGAAAUUGGACUAGCCCUUAAGCUUUACACGCGUUAGACGAACGGUCUGGAAAGUCCGACGAUACAGGGUGAUAGUCCCGUAGUUGACGACGUGUGUUCAGUGAAAUCGAGUAGGGCGGGACACGUGAUAUCCUGUCUGAAUAUGGGGGGACCAUCCUCCAAGGCUAAAUACUACUGACUGACCGAUAGUGAACCAGUACCGUGAGGGAAAGGCGAAAAGAACCCCUGUGAGGGGAGUGAAAUAGAACCUGAAACCGUGUACGUACAAGCAGUAGGAGCAGGCUUUGUCCUGUGACUGCGUACCUUUUGUAUAAUGGGUCAGCGACUUAUAUUCAGUGGCAAGGUUAACCAUCUAGGGGAGCCGUAGGGAAACCGAGUCUUAACUGGGCGUUCAGUCUCUGGAUAUAGACCCGAAACCAGGUGAUCUAGCCAUGGGCAGGUUGAAGGUUGAGUAACAUCAACUGGAGGACCGAACCGACUAAUGUUGAAAAAUUAGCGGAUGACUUGUGGCUAGGGGUGAAAGGCCAAUCAAACCUGGAGAUAGCUGGUUCUCCCCGAAAGCUAUUUAGGUAGCGCCUCGGACGAAUACUACUGGGGGUAGAGCACUGUUAAGGCUAGGGGGUCAUCCCGACUUACCAACCCUUUGCAAACUCCGAAUACCAGUAAGUACUAUCCGGGAGACACACGGCGGGUGCUAACGUCCGUCGUGGAGAGGGAAACAACCCAGACCGCCAGCUAAGGUCCCAAAUUACUACUAAGUGGGAAACGAUGUGGGAAGGCUCAGACAGCCAGGAUGUUGGCUUAGAAGCAGCCAUCAUUUAAAGAAAGCGUAAUAGCUCACUGGUCGAGUCGGCCUGCGCGGAAGAUGUAACGGGGCUAAGUAGUAAACCGAAGCUGCGGCAAUACUCUUUGAGUAUUGGGUAGGGGAGCGUUCUGUAAGCGGUUGAAGGUGUGUGGUAACGCAUGCUGGACGUAUCAGAAGUGCGAAUGCUGACAUGAGUAACGAUAAAGGGGGUGAAAAACCUCCUCGCCGGAAGACCAAGGGUUCCUGUCCAACGUUAAUCGGGGCAGGGUAAGUCGACCCCUAAGGCGAGGCCGAAAGGCGUAGUCGAUGGGAAACGGGUUAAUAUUCCCGUACUUCUUACAAUUGCGAUGGGGGGACGGAGAAGGCUAGGUGGGCCUGGCGACGGUUGUCCAGGUUCAAGUGCGUAGGCUUGAGAGUUAGGUAAAUCCGGCUCUCUCUAAGGCUGAGACACGACGUCGAGCACCUACGGGUGUGAAGUCAUUGAUGCCAUGCUUCCAGGAAAAGCCUCUAAGCUUCAGAUUGUAAGGAAUCGUACCCCAAACCGACACAGGUGGUCGGGUAGAGAAUACCAAGGCGCUUGAGAGAACUCGGGUGAAGGAACUAGGCAAAAUGGUACCGUAACUUCGGGAGAAGGUACGCUCUUGAUGGUGAAGUCCCUCGCGGAUGGAGCUGACGAGAGUCGCAGAUACCAGGUGGCUGCAACUGUUUAUUAAAAACACAGCACUGUGCAAAAUCGUAAGAUGACGUAUACGGUGUGACGCCUGCCCGGUGCCGGAAGGUUAAUUGAUGGGGUUAGACUUCGGUCGAAGCUCUUGAUCGAAGCCCCGGUAAACGGCGGCCGUAACUAUAACGGUCCUAAGGUAGCGAAAUUCCUUGUCGGGUAAGUUCCGACCUGCACGAAUGGCGUAAUGAUGGCCACGCUGUCUCCACCCGAGACUCAGUGAAAUUGAAAUCGCUGUGAAGAUGCAGUGUACCCGCGGCUAGACGGAAAGACCCCGUGAACCUUUACUACAGCUUGGCACUGAACAUUGACCCUACAUGUGUAGGAUAGGUGGGAGGCUUUGAAGCACGUACGCCAGUAUGUGUGGAGCCGUCCUUGAAAUACCACCCUUGUAGUGUUGAUGUUCUAACGUCGACCCCUAAUCGGGGUUGCGGACAGUGCCUGGUGGGUAGUUUGACUGGGGCGGUCUCCUCCCAAAGAGUAACGGAGGAGCACGAAGGUGGGCUAAUCACGGUUGGACAUCGUGAGGUUAGUGCAAUGGCAUAAGCCCGCUUGACUGCGAGAAUGACAAUUCGAGCAGGUGCGAAAGCAGGUCAUAGUGAUCCGGUGGUUCUGAAUGGAAGGGCCAUCGCUCAACGGAUAAAAGGUACUCCGGGGAUAACAGGCUGAUACCGCCCAAGAGUUCAUAUCGACGGCGGUGUUUGGCACCUCGAUGUCGGCUCAUCACAUCCUGGGGCUGAAGUCGGUCCCAAGGGUAUGGCUGUUCGCCAUUUAAAGUGGUACGCGAGCUGGGUUUAGAACGUCGUGAGACAGUUCGGUCCCUAUCUGCCGUGGGCGUUGGAAGAUUGAAGGGGGCUGCUCCUAGUACGAGAGGACCGGAGUGGACGAACCUCUGGUGUUCGGGUUGUGUCGCCAGACGCAUUGCCCGGUAGCUAAGUUCGGAAUCGAUAACCGCUGAAAGCAUCUAAGCGGGAAGCGAGCCCUGAGAUGAGUCUUCCCUGAUACUUUAAGUAUCCUAAAGGGUUGUCGGAGACUACGACGUUGAUAGGUCAGGUGUGUAAGUGCUGUGAGGCAUUGAGCUAACUGAUACUAAUUGCCCGUGAGGCUUAACCAUACAACACCCAAGGGGUUU